CUGCCCGAAAUGCUUGAGCACUGGCUAUCUGGGAUGUGGCUCUUGGGCCUUUUUGUGCCAUGUCACGGUGCCCUUUACAGGCGGGCACGUUCAUGGGCGUGUGGCACAUGGUUGCCCGCGCUCCUCUGAUGUGUCCGUGCUGGGUUAACCUAUCGAAGCAUCACACGGUAAUUGCCCACCACAGCUCGUUGCUUGGUCACCCGCUGGGUCUAAACGUGCAGGAUGCUCAUCCAGUGUCCGGACUGUCAAUGUUUUGGCGCGUGUAUGGGCGAUGCUACCGUACGGAGGGCUUUUCCGUGCGCGUACACGCUCGCGUCACGUCCGUGAUAUGUACUGGCUCUGACUGCCGACUUGUAGACGUGGUGUGAUCCAUUCGGCGACAAAGCUGGAAUUGGCCA
rnacentral:rRNA from 1 species